GUAUUGCUUUGGCAGUACCUAUCGUAAAACUGGAAUGAUAUGGAGAAGAUUAGCACGGCCCCUGCACAAGGAUGACACGCAAAUACAUGGAGCGUUCCUCAUUUUU